UCUCUGUUUUACAGCGAAUUGUAAUCUUGCGUAGUCAUGCUCACCGGGAUACGGCGCACAAGUGACUUCGAACAGUCCGCCAAAGAGGGUGACAGCCCCGUACUGUGCCUUAUCCUAACGAGCAGGCUUACUAAGAGUCGGGUUGUUUGGUAUUGCAGCCCUAAGCGGGAGAUAAACUUCUUCUAAGGCUAAAUAUAUGUGGGAAACCGAUAGCGAACAAGUACUGUGAAGGAAAGAUGAAAAGCACUUUGGAAAGAGAGUCAAAAGACCUGAAACCGUUGAGAAGGAAGCGGUAGAGAUGAAUUCUACAAUGAGCACUGGGGAGUAGAUCUAACCUUUACUAAGGGGAAAUCUAUGACUUGUGCAAAGUUGUGAGGCCGGAUGGGAUGAUAUGAUCUUAAAAAUUGAGUAAGUCUGAUUGCUUUCGGGUAAUAACUUAUUUAAAAAAAGAUUGUAUGGUCUGAGGGAGCUUAGUGCGAUCCGGUCAAAAUGGUCUUUACUGACUCGUCUUGAAACACGAACCAAGGAGUCUA
rnacentral:rRNA from 1 species